CCUACGGGUGGCAGCAGUGAGGAAUAUUGGUCAAUGGGCGCGAGCCUGAACCAGCCAAGUAGCGUGAAGGAUGACUGCCCUCCGGGUUGUAAACUUCUUUUAUAAAGGAAUAAAGUGAGGCACGUGUGCCUUUUUGUCUGUACUUUAUGAAUAAGGAUCGGCUAACUCCGUGCCAGCAGCCGCGGUAAUACGGAGGAUCCGAGCUUUAUCCGGAUUUAUUGGGGGUAAAGGGUGCGUAGAUGGGUUGUUAAGUCAGUUGUGAAAGUUUGCGGCUCAACCGGAAAAUUGCUAUUGAUACUGGGAGGCUUGAGUACAGUUGAGGUAGGCGGAAUUCGUGGUGUAGCGGUGAAAUGCUUAGAUAUCACGAAGAACUCCGAUUGCGAAGGCAGCCUACUAAACUGCCACUGACAUUGAUGCUCGAAAGUGUGGGUAUCAAACAGGAUUAGAUACCCUUGUAGUC
rnacentral:rRNA from 1 species